GUGCCAGCCGCCGCGGUAAUACGUAGGUGGCAAGCGUUGUCCGGAUUUAUUGGGCGUAAAGCGAGCGCAGGCGGUUUCUUAAGUCUGAUGUGAAAGCCUUCGGCUCAACCGAAGAAGUGCAUCGGAAACUGGGAAACUUGAGUGCAGAAGAGGACAGUGGAACUCCAUGUGUAGCGGUGAAAUGCGUAGAUAUAUGGAAGAACACCAGUGGCGAAGGCGGCUGUCUGGUCUGUAACUGACGCUGAGGCUCGAAAGCAUGGGUAGCAAACAGGAUUAGAUACCCUGGUAGUCCAUGCCGUAAACGAUGAGUGCUAGGUGUUGGAGGGUUUCCGCCCUUCAGUGCCGCAGCUAACGCAUUAAGCACUCCGCCUGGGGAGUACGACCGCAAGGUUGAAACUCAAAGGAAUUGACGGGGGCCCGCACAAGCGGUGGAGCAUGUGGUUUAAUUCGAAGCAACGCGAAGAACCUUACCAGGUCUUGACAUCCUUUGACCACUCUAGAGAUAGAGCUUUCCCUUCGGGGACAAAGUGACAGGUGGUGCAUGGUUGUCGUCAGCUCGUGUCGUGAGAUGUUGGGUUAAGUCCCGCAACGAGCGCAACCCUUAUUACUAGUUGCCAGCAUUUAGUUGGGCACUCUAGUGAGACUGCCGGUGACAAACCGGAGGAAGGUGGGGACGACGUCAAAUCAUCAUGCCCCUUAUGACCUGGGCUACACACGUGCUACAAUGGAUGGUACAACGAGUUGCGAGACCGCGAGGUUUAGCUAAUCUCUUAAAACCAUUCUCAGUUCGGAUUGUAGGCUGCAACUCGCCUACAUGAAGCCGGAAUCGCUAGUAAUCGCGGAGCAGCAUGCCGCGGUGAAUACGUUCCCGGGCCUUGUACACACCGCCCGU
rnacentral:rRNA from 1 species